ACGAGCAUACGUAAUUGAAGAACACCAAUAGUGUAAUUCACAAGCUUACGUAAUGCGAAGCCAAGUGUAAUUGAAGAACACCAAUAGUGUUUUUAUUUAGAUGGACAUAUUGACGAAACAAGAAGUGCAUGAAGAAACGUCAUACAUUGAUUACCAAGUACACCUAAGUCCACAAUAACGAUAAAAAUCUAUACUCGGUCUUCUUAUUUAUUAAUUUUCUUUUAUUAGUUAUUUUUUCCCAUCCUCCUUGAUGGAUUUCUUAGUAAGAUAGUCGAGUGAACAAGUAGGUCCUAAGAAACAUAAAUCACCAAGUACGUAUAUGGUCUGUAAUUGGCUUUCCUUAUUAUUAGUUUUUCCUUUAUUAUUCAAACUUUCCCUCCUCCUGGGCAUGAGAUUACGGUAAUAUCGCCCCUUAUAACCGUAUUAUUCCGUGCCGGCCUUUGUAGAACUGUCUGAAAAAAUGCAUAUCCCCGAGCAAACCUAAACGUUUUGGUGCCACCAACUAUUGGAUCUUCUCUCGCCGUACCACCAACUUGUAAGUUAUAUCCUGGUCCUUGGAAUUCCAAUGUGCUACCGUUGUAUUGGGAGUUGGAGAAAAGGACGGAAAAUAUGCCCAGUGAGCGUGAUCCAUCACGGGAUGAAGAUAUAUAAAUGCCUUGGGCCCGACCAAUAGUUGGAGAAUUGUUGCUGAUGCCUUGUGUCAUGUUAGCAUCAUUAACAAUAAUGGUUCCAAAAUUGGAGGGAGUUCUCGGCAUACCAGGGGCGCCGGCAACUGCAACACUGGUGGUAUUUGGUCCGCCCGUAAACAGUUGAAUGUACACAGUAAUAUUUGUUUCCUUUCCACGGCAGCAACGGUAAGGGUCAAGAAGAUUAGCUUCUGAACUAACAAAAAUUGCUAGUAAUAGCACAAGGGAAAUUUGGAUGGAUGCUAAAGCUGAACCUUUUGCCAUUUUGUAUGAUGAAAGGCUAGCUGAAAAACAAAGAAGGAAGAAACAAAUUAGUUAGAUGGUGAAGAUAAAUUGUUCAAUGACCAUAUUUAUAGGAUGGAGGAGGUAGCAGUUGCAAAAUGGUUAUAGUAGAACAAUUAAAUCAAUCUUGACUUUUGAUUUUUCCACAUAUAAAUGGUUUAAAUGAAAUAAUAUUACAUUCCAAAGAGUUAGGUAUAGCACAAAAAGUUUUAAAAGACAAUUAAACAUCAAUGGGUGGCCACCUAUCACAAUAGGUUUGUGUAAUGGUGUGGUGUACUCAGCAGAUAUAUCAUUCAAAGUUCAGAGCCAAGAAUUUCUUUUGAUAUAUAGUGGGAUAAUGGAAAAACUUGAAAACAUGAAACACAUUUCCAUAAAAAAAAUGAAACACAUUCAAUAAGGUUCUGGAAAAGGAUUAACUUCACUCUGCAUUUUCAAACCUGUACCACUUUAACAAGGAUCCGAACAUAUACUCAGGAGAUAAAUUAAUGUUGACUUUUGAUUUUUCUGCAUAUAAAUGUUUUAAAGGAAAUAGGAUUGCAUUUGAAAGAGUUUGGUAGAGCAUAAAAAGUUUUAAAAGAGAAUUAAACCUCAACGGGUGGCCAACUAUCAUAGUAGGUUAGUGUAGAAUGGUGUGGUAUACACGGCAGAUAUAUCAUUCAAAAUUCAUAGUCAAGAAUUUCUUUUAGUGAUGGUAAUCCAGGAGGGUGCCGGUGGGCAAACGGGGCCGGGGGGGGGAGGUAGAAUUGUUUCCCGCAUUAAAAAACUGGGCAGCCGGCGAGGGAGUAUAUCCCCACCCCAUCACCCCUUAAAAACAAUUAAAUUUAUAUGUAUAUAAUUAUAUAUGUGAUAUUUUAUUUAAUUAGUUACAAAUUUAUAAUAAUGAUAUUAUUAGUUAUAAGUAUUAUAUAAUGUAUAUUAGUAUUUGUAAUAUAAUUGAUAUUAUCAAAUGCUAAUAAUUAUACAUGUCUACUAAUAGAAAUUGUUAAUUAGUUAUAUCAAAUUUACUAAUACAUUUAUACUAAAUUCCUAAUUAUACUUAACACAAUAACAUUUUUUGCUCAAAAAAUCACACAACAAUGAUUUAGUGAUUGUAUUUGUAUCAAAAGUGAAAACUUGACUACUUUAGUUGUGUUUGUUUCAUCAUAUUGGAUUGUAUUUAAAUAACUUUUGUUUGAUUGUUUUUAUGACUUACAAUUUUGAAAUUACAAUGGAUAAUGAUUUGGUGAUGUGUUGGCAUUUAAGUAUUUGAUCCUUUGGUCAAAUUUGACUACAAUGAAAUUCUAUGACAAAUUUUUAUUCACCCUGUGAGUGUGCCCGUAUGGGAAGCGGGGCAAGGCGGGGAUAGGGCGGGGGAGGAGUCCCCCGUCUAACCCCCGCCCCAUUGCCAUUCCUAAUUUCUUUUGCUAUAUAGUGUAAUAAUGGAAACCUUGAAAACUUGAAACACAUUUACCGAAAAAAAAUGAAAUACAUUUAACAGGGCUCCGAAAAAUGACAACUCCACUUUGCACCUUCGAAUUUGUACCAGUUUAACAAUGUUCCAAGCUUAUUGUUGGCUUGUCAAACCAGCAAAAAUAAAAGUUCCUACUCUAAAAAUAUGAAUUCGAGUGUAGCGGUGAGUAGGGUCGUAUCCACAGGGAUUGGGUGAUUUAUUUCUUUGUGAAAAAUGGGGGAUUAGGAGAAAUUAACCAAAUAGCUCACUUGAAUAAAAAUAAAGACAGUAUCACAAAAUUAAAUAAAACUAAAUCAAGAAAAGGCAACACUCUAGUCGAAGGUCUAAUCUUCACUUUGGUUCAUUUAACUGAUCAUCGAUGCAAAGGUGAAAUCACUUAUUCAUAAAUAAACUGGUUAUGAUUGUCAACACGUUCUGACAACCUACCUCGCCUUACUGUUUCGAUAACCACAACACACUCUGUGGCUAUUUCUGUUGCCAAUUAAGCAAGCCUAAACAAGCUCUUAGGAUUUAACCUAUUGACAGCAGUAAUAAUUAGAGAAGCUACCAAUUCUAACCAACAAACACACACACUCGGUUCAUUUAAGUUAGAUUAUAUAUUCCCGUGACAUAGAUUCGAAAGUCUAUUUUACAAUCAAAUUAUAUCACGCACCACAGAUACUAAAACCAUCAAAUAAUUACGGAUUUGAUAUUUUAGAUGGCAAUAGAAUAUUUUGACAAUUAAAUAUUGAUCAGGUAUUUAACUGUAGCAAAUAAUCAUAGUCAUGAAUGAGCAGAGAAUAUAUAAAUACUCAUAAAUAAAUGAAGCAAACAAAUCAAAUUAGAUCUCACAGUAUUGUAGAACCAAAGUUUCAAUUAUCCUUCAACUAGAAAAGGAAUUAGCCGCUCCUCCUAGCAAAGUCGCGGCCACAAGGAAUACUAGGGUUUAUUGUAGAGAAAAAGAGGAAAAAGAAUGAGAGCUAGAGAAAGAAUGAGAGCCCACGUCUGUUUUCUCCCCUAUUAAUAGGGGAUGGGCUCCUCUUUUCUUCUAAGACUCCUAGUUCCCCUAAACUAACCAACUAAGACCUUUUAAUUGGUUUCCCAAAAUAAUUACAUCGAAUCAUGGCCCCUCAAGGUCUCCAAUCCGUGGCUAAUGUGUCAGCCCGUGGGAUGCAACCGGCUCCUUGACCAAUUGACAGAUUUAUCUUGUGUCUUGCGAACUUUUGACUGCUUUGCCAAAUAAGGCGUGGGCACGCUUUACAACGAAAGCUCUUCUGGACAUGGACCUUUAGAAGCACCACUUCGAGUUUGACAAAGCGUGGGCACACUUUACAAGACGUCAUUUGCAAAGUCGACUUUUAACGCGCCUUUUACUUCAUUCUCAACAACAAUUCCUAAAAGCAACACCAAAACUCAAAUAUGAGUGAAAUAUAUCGAUUAACGCCAUAUUUUAGCAAAAUAAAGGGGAAAAUAUUCACCAAUUAUAUGCACAAUUAGCCACUUAACACUUAUAUUUAUGAGAUAAAUCAAGCUUGACUUUUGAUUUUUCUGCAUAUGAAUGGUUUAAUUGAAAUAAGAUUACAUUUCAAAGAGUUUGGUAGAGCAUAAAAAGUUUUAAAAGAGAAUUAAACCUCAAUGGGUGGCCACCUAUGAAAGUAGGUUUGUGUAGAAUGGUGUGGUAUACAUAGCAGAUAUAUCAUUCAAAGUUCAGAGUCAAGAAUUUCUUUUGCUAUAUAUAUAGUGAGAUAAUGGAAAGCCUUGAAAUCUUGAAACACUUUUACCUAAAAAACAAAUUACAAAACAAUGAAACACAUUUCACAAGAUUCUGGAAAAGAAUUAACUCCGCUUUGCACCUUCGAAAUUCUACCACUUUAAUAAGGUUCCGAAUUUACAUUGAGUAGCUAAAUCAAUCUUGACUUUUGAUUUUUCUCCAUAUAAAUGGUAUGAAUGAAAUAUGAUUACAUUUCUAAGAGUUAGGUAGAGCGUAAAAAGUUUUAAGAGAGAAUUCAAUAUAAAUGGGUAGCCACCUAUGAAAAUAGGUUUGUAUAGAAUGGUAUACUUAGCAGAUGUAUCAUUCAAAGUUGAUAGUCAAGAAUUUCUUUUGUUGUAUUGUGGGAUAAUGGAAAACCUUAAAAACUUGAAACAAAAUUACCUAAAAAAAAACAAGGAAACACGUUUAAUAAGGUCCUAGAAAAGGAUUAACUUAACUUUGCAUCUUCAAACUUAUCUCACUUUUUCAUUUUAUACCCUAAAUUUUAAUUUUGAACACUUUGCACCCUAAGCUUUACUUUCACCCUUUAGUCUAGGGCCAUUCAUGUUUGCAAAUUGCAUAAGAGCCAUUCAUUUUCUUGUUAGUUACGUGUAGUAGUAGGCUUUUAGCAUCCUCUCAUUAAAAAAUUAAUUUAAAAAAAUGUCCAAGCAUAGGUUUCAAUUUUGUAGUUGAAAUUGAAAAUGUUCACGCAUGUUUAGCUAUUUACACGCCAUAUAGGCUUUCAACCUCCUAACCCUAAAAUUUUGGGGGUUUGGGGGGAAGGGGAGGGUUGGAUGAAGAACAGAGAUUGAAAUAAUAAAUCUUUUGUAGCCUUCAUUAAGGCAUUGAUCGAAUAAGAGAAUUUCUGAAGAGAAAUUAGAAUGAAACAAAUACCUUAAUUGCCCUAAUGAAGUGCAAUUGAAUAUAGUUCUCGAGAAUGUAAUUUCUGUUGAUUUCUAUGUAGCUGGUUGUUGUAAAAUUUGUCUGAAGAGACAAUCGAAUACCCCCAAAACUCGCCGAAUUCCUAACAGUUCACAUAUCUUUUGGAGUCGGAUUACAAGUCCGCGUAUGUCUCCCCUAUUUAGAGGUAAAAAUAACAAAAAAAAAACUCAAAAGUUGACUUUCCUAAUAAUAUGUUUUUGCACCGUCCAAUCCACAUAUGUUUAUAUACGAUUCAGCAAUAAAAUUGAAGAAAAGCUCAAAAGUUGACUUUCUCGUUUUAUAAGGAAUUGACUAACUAUUUUGUGGCCAAACCAUUAUCCAUCUUGACCGUCUAAAUGGUGGAUUGCACUUUAAGCUUAAUGCUCAAUAAAACAGAAGUUCUUAACCAUGUUAAGAAAAAAUAGAUGGAAAGGUCUUUUGUCACCUUUUAUUAGUUGUGGUAGUUAUAUAGCAGAAGAAUUACCAUUUGUUAAACUGAGUAAAAGAUUAUUUUUCAUAAAGCAAUUUGGAUGUACACCAUAUGUAAAACAAAAGUUAUGACAAAUAAAGACUACCUUACAAUUAGACUUGGUGUACAAUUAUCAGUUCAAGCGAAUUCCACAAUUAGGUGAAGAUUUUAUCUAAGUUUCAAUACACAUCUUUAUUGGUAAACGCACAUAUCAUAUUUUAACACAUUCACGAACAUACGUAAUUGAAGAACACCAAUAGUGUAAUUCACAAGCUUACGUAAUGCGGAGCCAAGUGUAAUUGAAGAACACCAGUAGUGUUUUUAUUUAGAUGGACAUAUUGACGAAACAAGAAGUGCAUGAAGAAACGUCAUACAUUGAUUACCAAGUACACCUAAGUCCACAAUAACGAUAAAAAUCUAUACUUGGUGUUCUUAUUUAUUAUUUUUCUUUUAUUAGUUAUUUUUUCCCAUCCUCCUUGAUGGAUUUCUUAGCAAGAUAGUCGAGUGAACAAGUAGGUCAUAAGAAACAUAAAUCACCAAGUACGUAUAUGGUCUGUAACUGGCUUUCCUUAUUAUUAGUUUUUCCUUUAUUAUUCAAACUUUCCCUCCUCCUGGGCAUGAGAUUACGGUAAUAUCGCCCCUUAUAACCGUAUUAUUCCGUGCCGGCCUUUGUAGAACUGUCUGAAAAAAUGCAUAUCCCCGAGCAAACCUAAACGUUUUGGUGCCACCAACUAUUGGAUCUUCUCUCGCCGUACCACCAACUUGUAAGUUAUAUCCUGGUCCUUGGAAUUCCAAUGUGCUACCGUUGUAUUGGGAGUUGGAGAAAAGGACGGAAAAUAUGCCCAGUGAGCGUGAUCCAUCACGGGAUGAAGAUAUAUAAAUGCCUUGGGCCCGACCAAUAGUUGGAGAAUUGUUGCUGAUGCCUUGUGUCAUGUUAGCAUCAUUAACAAUAAUGGUUCCAAAAUUGGAGGGAGUUCUCGGCAUACCAGGGGCGCCGGCAACUGCAACACUGGUGGUAUUUGGUCCGCCCGUAAACAGUUGAAUGUACACAGUAAUAUUUGUUUCCUUUCCACGGCAGCAACGGUAAGGGUCAAGAAGAUUAGCUUCUGAACUAAUAAAAAUUGCUAGUAAUAGCACAAGGGAAAUUUGGAUGGAUGCUAAAGCUGAACCUUUUGCCAUUUUGUAUGAUGAAAGGCUAGCUGAAAAACAAAGAAGGAAGAAACAAAUUAGUUAGAUGGUGAAGAUAAAUUGUUCAAUGACCAUAUUUAUAGGAUGGAAGAGGUAGCAGUUGCAAAAUGGUUAUAGUAGAACAAUUAAAUCAAUCUUGACUUUUGAUUUUUCCACAUAUAAAUGGUUUAAAUGAAAUAAUAUUACAUUCCAAAGAGUUAGGUAUAGCACAAAAAGUUUUAAAAGACAAUUAAACAUCAAUGGGUGGCCACCUAGCACAAUAGGUUUGUGUAAUGCUGUGGUGUGCUCAGCAGAUAUAUCAUUCAAAGUUCAGAGCCAAGAAUUUCUUUUGCUAUAUAGUGGGAUAAUGGAAAAACUUGAAAACAUGAAAUACAUUUCCCUAAAAAAAAUGUAACACAUUCAAUAUGGUUCUGAAAAAGGAUUAACUCCACUCUGCAUUUUCAAACCUGUACCACUUUAACAAGGUUCUGAACAUAUACUCAGUAGAUAAAUUAGUGUUGACUUUUGAUUUUUCUGCAUAUAAAUGUUUUAAAUGAAAUAGGAUUGCAUUUGAAAGAGUUAGGUAGAGCAUAAAAAGUUUUAAAAGGGAAUUAAACCUCAACGGGUGGCCAACUAUCAUAGUAGGUUAGUGUAGAGUGGUGUGGUAUACACGGCAGAUAUAUCAUUCAAAAUUCAUAGUGAAGAAUUUCUUUUAGUGAUGGUAAUCCAGGAGGGUGCCCACGGGCAAACGGGGCCGGGGGGGAGGGAGAUUUUUUCCCCCAUUAAAAAAUGGGGCAGCCGGCGAGGGAGUAUACCCCUACCCCAUCCCUCGCCCCAUCACCCGUUAAAAACAAUUAAAUUUAUAUGUAUAUAAUUAUAUAUGUGAUAUUUAAUUUAACUAGUUACAAAUUUAUAAUAAUGAUAUUAUUAUUUAUAAGUAUUAUAUAAUGUAUAUUAGUAUUUGUAAUAUAAUUGAUAUUAUCAAAUGCUAAUAAUUAUACAUGUCUACUAAUAGAAAUUGUUAAUUAGUUAUAUCAAAUUUACUAAUACAUUUAUACCAAAUUCCUAAUUAUACUUAACACAAUAACAUUUUUUUCUCAAAAAAUCACACAACAAUGAUUUAGUGAUUGUAUUUGUAUCAAAAGUGAAAACUUGACUACUUUAGUUGUGUUUUUUUUUUUUUUUUGGUUCCCGAAUGACAGACAUCACCACCAUUUGCUUUGUACAUAUACAAACAGCGCAGAUUACAACACAAGUAAAAGUUAAAAGGCAAAAGAUUUCACAUCACAACCGGCUUCAUACAUACAUGCAAGGUAUUGAGUAUUCAGUUUGAACUCUGUAUAACUCUUGAUUUAUGUAAACUGCCUUUCAAUCCACUGCAUAUUGCCUAACCUGCCAACCAAAACUCGCAAAUCCAUGAAAAUUUUGUGAAGGAAGCCAACAGACCAAUGCCUAAACGGCUUCUGUCUUCUAGGACUCCGUUUUAUCCGGGUUGAACUUUGCAGACUCCUUCCAGAUGAGCUCGCUUAUCUCUUCCAGACUACUUUAGUUGUGUUUGUUUCAUCAUAUUGGAUUGUUUUUAAAUAACUUUUGUUUGAUUGUUUUUAUGACUUACAAUUUUGAAAUUACAAUGGAUAAUGAUUUGGUGAUGUGUUGGCAUUUAAGUAUUUGAUCCUUUGGUCAAAUUUGACUACAAUGAAAUUGUAUGACAAAUUUUUAUUCGCCCUGUGGGUGUGCCCGUAUGGGAAGCGGGGGAAGGCAGGGACGGGGUGGGGGAGGAGUCCCCCGUCUAACCCCCGCCCCAUUGCCAUUCCUAAUUUCUUUUGCUAUAUAUUGUAAUAAUGGAAACCUUGAAAAUUUGAAACACAGUUACCCAAAAAAAAUGAAAUACGUUUAACAGGGCUCCGAAAAAUGACAACUCCACUUUGCACCUUCGAAUUUGUACCGGUUUAACAAUGUUCCAAACUUAUACUCAUGAGAUAAAUCAAGCUUGACUUUUGAUUUUUCUGCAUAUGAAUGGUUUAAUUGAAAUAGGAUUACAUAUAAAUUUAAAAUCUCCUUUUUUUUUUAAAUGAUUUUAUUGAUUAAAUUUAUAAUCUCCUACACUAUGCCACACAUGAUUUUCUGUAAGUAUACAGGUCGUGGGCGAAUAUACGGUAAUUAGGCUUGAACCCACAGGAAAGACGGACAAUUACCGGCACUACUAAAGUUUCUUUAUUAUGUAGACUACCAAUACAUUAGAACCAACAAAUCUAAACUACUAAUGGGAAGAAAAUACAAAUGAAAACUUUCGAGUAAUGGAAUCUCUAUCUACUCAUGUUAAUGCAACUUCUCGACUAAUUGAGUACUAAAAUCUUGGUUAAGUCAUGAUCUAAUUUCCUUAUGUAUGUGAUACCCGCUUUCGCCGGUGUACCAGCUAUACCUAUAGUUAAUCCAUACCUACUUUCGUGGCUAUGAAAUCAACCAUAAACUCAUUUACUUUUAUGAAAUUACUACAAAACAAGCAAUAAAAGUGCACCUCUAAUUUCGUAAGUGUACUCUCUAUGUUUAACACUUUCGUGAACUAGUUUCAAAUUUCAAUUUUUAUUGCAAAUCGAACACCUUGAGAUUAUUACAACCAAUGGCCAGUUAAUCAUGAUUUUGUGAACAAAAGUGCUAAAUAACUCAAUCAAGAUAAUAGUCCAAAAUAAUCAAAAAAUCAACACAUAGCAAUCAUAGAUAGUUCAACCAAAUACCCAAGGCAUACACUUUUAAACAACAUCACAAACAUAAUAUCCAAAACUUAUAUUAACAAAACUUAGAGUCCAAUGCAAAGAAAAAGAGGUGGAGAGAAGAAGAACCCAUGUCACUAAAGCUUCUUGAGCCUUUCCGUCUUCAUCUCCACCGGCCUCCUUGUUGAGCCAAUAUAAGAGUGGAUGAAUACACACUACAAUAUCCUACACUAAAACAAGAAAAGAAAGAAAGGAGAGCUACAUUUGUUAAGGAUUUGUGUCUUUACUCCAAGACUCUUUCUCUCUCUAAAGCUAACUAAAAACUAAAACUCCCCAUCUAAGACUGAAGGCUCCUCUAUUUAUAAUCUUCAAGUCCCCUUGAAUCUUCCACAAGAAGUUUGGUUUGGUCUUGAAAAGUCAAGAUUGUGAAAUGGAAUAACACAAAGUUGACAAAAGUUGAUGUCUUGGAUCCAAAAAGUUAUUGCCAAAACAUCAUGGAUGCUGCAAGAAAGAAAGAUGAAAAGAUGUCUGCAAGUUGAGCAAGUUGCGCAAGUUGCGCAAUUUGCAGAUUUUUUCCGCUCAAGUAUACAACAUGGUAUCCGAAACGAAUUUUACUAUUUGGCAGCCUAUAUUGCUAAACACUCUUCUUUGAAAAACUCACUAACGAGUAUCUGGUGCGAUUAUCUAUUUUCACUUCUUCAAUCCAACAUUGUAUAUUGCUCAACACCCUUUCUCUUGCAAAACCUUCUAACGGGUAUCCGAUUUGGUAUCUGACUCGAAAUUCACUAUCUAAUCCCAUAUACUCUCAUCCAAUUAGAUGAUAACUUUUUGUAAAUGGCCCCGUAUUGUCCUUGUUCAUUCAUCCCUACCAAAAAUGACAAAUUUUAACAAGUAAAAGGGAUGAAUUCACAAGUCUUCUCAAAGUCACUCAAGGACAUUAAAUAUUGUCAAAAUGGUUGUUCACAUUGUCUUAGGAGUUCAAAAUUAGCUAUAAAUAAACUAAAAUAUACACAAACUAUUAGGAAAAAUAGACACUUCUCAACAGAUAUAGUGAUUGAUGAGUGCGGUGUGUGCAUAUAACAAUUAGCUCAAUCCACAAUUAAAUUUCAAAUUUAUAAAAUCAUAAAUACCUCAUACGCAAUUUUCAACAAGUAUACAAGUUGUGAUUGAAUAUAGGGUACUAAGGAUCGAACCUAUAGGGAAGAAUGCACAAAUAUUGGCACUACUAAAGGUUCUCUAUUAUUAUACGAUCAAAAAGUUGAAAAAAAAAAAAGAUACAACGUACAAGAAAAUAAAAAUGAAAACUCCUUAGGUCAUGGUAUCCCUCACUACCCAAACAAGUGCAAUUUUUUUUGGAUCAUUGAGCAAUACUACCUCAUCUAGUUAUGACAUAAUUUCUUUAUGCAUGUGAAACAUACUCUCGUAGUGAAUCAGAUAUACCUGUAACUAAUCAACGCCUACUCUCGUGAUUAUGAAAUUAGCUACAAGUUCAUUACCUCUAUGAAAUUACAUGAAAUAAAACACUAAAACUAUAAAGGUGUACCUGUACUCUCGUGAGUGUACUUCCUAGGUUUAGCACUUGUUUGAAUUAGCAUUAAAUCCCAAUUUUCAUUGCUAACUUCACACUUAUGAUUAUCACAAUUAAUGACAAGUUAAUCAUGAUUAGAGGAGCAAAAGGGUUAAAUAACUGACUGAAAAUAAUAGCAUCAACUAGUCAAAUAAUAAACACAAAACAAUCAUAGAAACUUCAACCAAAACCCAAGGUAUAAACUUUAGAAACAUAUAUUGAAAAUAAAAUCCAAAUUUAUAUAUUAACUAAACUUAAAAUUAAUUACAAAAGAUAAAGAGUUGGAAAGGUAUAGUAACCCUUAUCACAUGAACUCCUUCAUUGCCUUCUUCAAUCUCCAACUUCAUUUUCAUCUAGUUAUUUCACAAGAAAGGAUGAAUUAGUUAAAACUAAACUAUCCUACAUUACCUAAACUAAAGAACUAAGAAACUAUCUAAGAACUAAAUUUUUGUGGUAUUUCUUCACCCUCUCCAAGCUCUCCAAAGUGGAAGACACAAAAUCCUAUUUAUAGAGAUCUCUUUCCUCUUUGUGUCUUCCUUCAAGUGUGAACAUUGGCUUCAAAUGUCAAUAUUUUUUGCUCCAAACUAAAUCACAUUAGUAUAGAAGAAAUAAAGUUAAGAAUUGUUGCUCGAAUCUUCACUUUAAAUUUACAAAUCUUCUAUAACGAGGUUUUACUAUGUACCAAAUUUUAAUAAAAGCUAAACACCCCGUUUUCUACAAGUGUACAAGUCAUUUAUCGAGUAUAGGGAUAUUAGGUGUCGAUCCCAAAGGAAAGAUUGUCAAUUACCGAUGGUUUCGAACUCUUUUAUUAUUUAGACUACUACAAAUGUAAGAAAUUAAAUUUACACUACAAACAUGAAAUAAAAGUGAUAAAAAUAAUAAUAGAAAUCCCUUAGGGCUAUGAAAUUCCUUACUACUCUUGCAAGUGAAAUUAUCGGUUAAUUGAAUGUUAUUAUCUUGGCUAGUUAUGGUAUAAUUUUCUAAUGUAUGUGAAACCUACUUUCGUAGUGAAUCAACUACACUUGUAGUUAAACUAUAUUUACUCUCGUAGUUAUGAAACUAACUACUAGCUCAUUUUUUUCUAUGAAAUUACAUGGAACAAGCUACUAAAACCACAAAGAUGCAUCUCUACUCUCGUGAGUGUACUCCUUAGGUUUAACACUUCUUUGAACUAGUGUUAGAUUCUAAUUCUCAUAGUAAACUUAGCACUAACAUUAUCAUAAUUAAUGGUCAGUUAAUCAUAAUUAGAUAAGCAAAAGUGCUAAAUAACUUGCUCAAAUAAUAUCAUCAAAUAACCAAGUAAAUAUCACAAACAAAAUAUAGAAAGUUCAUCCAUAACUCUAAGGUUAAAUUUUAGCUAAACAUGACAGACAUGAAAACAAAAUCCAAACUUGUAUUAUAACCAAAUAUUAGAAUCAAUGUAAGAAAUAAAGUGAUAGGAGAAAUGUCACUCUUGUCACAUGAGUUCUAUGCUCUCCAUUUUCAUCCUCAACUUCAUCCAAGUUUAGCUACUACAGGAAUAGAUGGAAACUACACUACACUAUACUAAACUAAUGAACUAAGAAAAACUAGUGAAGAAUACAUUUUUGGUAGUGUUUCUAGCCUUCCAAAGUUAUCAAACAAGCUCAAAAAGGGCCCUAUUUAUAGAGAAUUAAAUUUCCAAGCAAUCAUGUUUCAAGUUGUGCAAAUUGUGUCUUGAGAUUUUCAGAAGUUGCUCCUCCAAAUUUCCAAGAUGCUUCUUGCACUUUCCAAUUGAAAUUCGUUCAGAAAAUUGGUCCAAAAGUAGUAGGAAAGAGCUGAAAGUUUAAGUACAACUGGUUCCAGCUGUAAAGCAGCUAAAAUAUGAAUAUGACCCUCAAAAUGCGGGUUAAGGUCGCGUAUUGUCCUCCCCUGUAGGUUUACACUUUUGUGAUCAAUCUUCAGCAUUGCUCUGUUUUCGGACCAAAUUAAACUGAUAUUUUCUCAAUGAUGGCAGCUUAACUAUCUCUUGUUCAAAAUACAAAAGUUGUAGUUCUUUGAGUUAGCUUUCUAAUCUAUUAAAAAUCAUCUAAUUUGGAGCUCUGUAGACUAGUAAAUGACCUAAAUACCCUUGACUGGUCAAUCUCCUAUUUCAGCUUUUGAUAGCAAAAAUGGUCAACUAUAUUUUGACUUUUUGGCUAUGAAAACUCAUGAACUGGAUUUUGAUGUCUCAUAAGAAAUGUAGAGCUAUGUCUUAACUUCAACAUGGUUCAAUAAUUACCUCAAUCCAAUGCUAUUAGCUCAAGAUAUAGCCAAAAUAACAAAAGAUACCAAAGUUGUCAAACAUUUUUUCUUUUAUACCUGAUUGCAUUUCAUCUGCACAUUUGGCUCUUUCAUAUUCACUUCAAAUCAUCAAUAAUCAUCCAAAUAUCUUCUCCAUUCAUUUCAUAUGAUGAUUGAAUCAUUAAACCUACAAAAAUAUGAAGUUUUUACCAUUUGAACAUAGAAAUACAAUUUUUUACACUUUUGAACCACAAAAUACAAACUUCACUAAAAAUCUAGUUAAUUAGCCAUAAAAAUGAAUAAAACAGACCAAAACUAAACAAUAAAACAUACUUAAACACUCAAAAUGCACACUUAUUAUUAUACAAAUUGUCCCUCAAACGAUGUGAAAUGAUGGAAUUGAAAUCAAGUUGCACAAGUUGAAGUCGCAAAGUUCGACCAGAAUCCCUCCAAAGCAAUCCCUCCAAUUUUUGGCCGGAUUUGCUUCCUAUUUGUCCAAAACAUUCUGCCUCAAUUCCCUCCAAGAAAUCCCUCUAAAAGCUGGCCGGAUUGUUCGGAGGGAUUUGAGUCGACUUUUGUUUUCGACAAGUUUGUUCAUUUUCUUCUUCUAGUGACCCGAACUACUUUUGAAACUCAUCAUCCUUGGUAACUUUAGAACUUCAAUCAUCAUGAUGUAAACUUAUUUCUUGUCCAGAAUGAAGUUCAUUUCCAAUUCCUACAAAAAUAAUAAAAUAUAUGCAAGUAUAAGGGACACAAUUCUUCUUUAAGCUCUCAGUAGUAUUUAGAACUAAUUUUAGCAAAAAUAGACCAUAUUCUUCUUAUAAUAUUGUAAAAAUGACUAAAAAUAAUAUAAAAUGUCAUCCACAUAUAACACAAAAUAGCCACUUAUUAGUGAUCCAGUUAUAGAACAAGCAAAUGCGAUAAAAAAUGCUCUCAUGAAGGCACAGCAAAGGGGAUGGAGAAAUCCAGUUAUCCAAUCAGACUGCAAAAGGCUUAUGGACAAGCUAGCUGAGGAGAUUAUAGGUGAUCCUUUGACAGGUGUAAUAUUAGAGGACAUAUCAAAGCUCAACAAGGAGUUUUAUAACUGUUAUUCGCUAGAAGGGAAGGGAAUUUUAUCAGUGAUAAUUUGGCAAAGUUAGCCAUAAGGUGAAAUUGCUUGGAAAGAGUCCUUCCCAAUUUGGCUAACUAAUCUAGCCAAAGAUGAUGUAGGAGCAGUUGCUCCAGCAGUAUAGACAUUUUCUCCAGCUGUUUUAAAGAAAAUAUUGGUAUCGUCGAAACCUUUCGAGCAUGAAUUAAUCCAAGAUUACACCUAGAAGAAGAUUCUUGAGAUGUGCAAACACUAAGUUAGUGAAGUGAAUUAGUCCUUUGUAUUUAGAUGGUCAAAACAACUAACGCACACAUAUGUAUGUCUGUGUGUAUAUAUGUAUGUAUGUAUGCAGUGGCGGAGCUAGGAAUUGCAAUUAGGGGGGGUGAGUCUCUGUUAUUUGGACCAAGUCCAAAUAACUUUCAAACAUUAUUAUUUGGGUCCUUGAGAGGGGGGCAAAGUGAAAUUUUUUAUCAAUAUUUUGGAGGGGGGCAGUUGCCCCCCCUUCCCUCCGCCCCUGUAUGUAUGUAUGUAUGUAUGUGUGUGUGUAUGUGUGUGUGUAUAUAUAUAUAUAUUAGAUCCGUUAACUCACUUUCUAGCAGUAGAAGCAGACAACCGAGUAAAAGAAAGAUGUCAAUGUUCGUCACGUUGGUCAAAUUAAACCCUUUGGGUUAGUUGAGAAAUUUGCACCCCACAUGUCAUACUAACUCGUUGAGAACCUGUGCUCCAAAUACUUGUAAUCGGCCUUAUUGAUUUGGAUCCAAAUGAAUUCAUUAUCUAGUGCAGAGGCACACAAAAAUAAAUUACAGGAAAUAAGCCAAAAAUCAUUAUCUGCUUGUAUAGAUGACUGUUAGUGAUUCUUGCAAUAUAAUAUUUGAUAGGGUAUAAAUUGUAGGGUUUUUACGCAAUUUAUGAGCAAUUAUUUAUGCCGUAUGUGAUUAAAUUGAAUGGAAAGCUGCUUAUUUGGUGUUAUAUUUGUUUUGCAGGGAGUACUUUGAAGAUCUAGGAAACAGGAAGGAAAUUGCGUGAAGAAUCCAGAGUUCAAGGGCUGAAAUGCAAUUUCAAGAAGUGAAGCAUGAAAUCUGGCACCGGUCAAUGGACUGGACUUCAUGCCGAUCAUCGUUGGACUGCCGUCGCUCGUGGAUUUUUUCAGCUGCAAGAAAUCCUUUUCCAACUAUGUUUCACAUGUAAUUUUUAGUAGCUAUAAAUAGGAGACAAUUAGGACAUUUUGGAGGGUUAGAAAAACAUUUCUUUAUAAUUCUUCCUUGAGAAAUUAAGAUCGAACAUGGUGAAUCAUGGGGUGCACAAGAAGAAGAUUAAUUGGAACAAGCGAUCGAGAAGUUUUCUUACUCUUAUUCUUAUCUUUGUAUUAACUUUUUGAAUUCGUGGUUUUAAUUUUUUCAAGAUGUUGAACUAAACUUGCUUUAGGGUUAGUGUUUUUAAGAUGGAGUUUUGAUUAAUUUGUCCAAUUAAAUUCUUGGCUAUUGCUGUGAUUUAUCUAUUUUGCCUUCAAUAACUUGUUUAUGCCUGAUCAACAUGAACAUGAUACUUGAAUUUGUAUAGAAUUGAGAAGUAAGAAACAAGCGUGCACUAUAUAAAUAAACAUACUUAAUCCUACCAGGAGAGUAGGUUGGAUUUGUACGAUACACUUAUAUCACCUAAACUCUAAAAGGGUUUAAUUGAACACUUACGAUCUUGAAAGAGAUAUAGGAUUUAAUUAAGCACACUUUAGAUAUAUCGAGAGAUAAUCUAAUGCAAAUUCUAGACUGUUCAUGGCCUGUUCAAAAAUUAAUUGGAUAAUUAACGCAAAUUCUAAAUUAAAACCUGAAACUCUAGACUCACAAUUAUUGUUUUUUCAACCACUCUUUUAUUUGAUUUGAUAACUUAUUUUGCUUAUUACUUAGUGGUUUAAUAUCUUAAAUUCAACUUUUUCAAUUUAUUAUAAUAAUUAAAAUAGAAAAUUAACUCGCCUUUGUGAGUUUGAUCCCUAGAAUACUUCAAGUGAUUUUUAUUACUACAAUCAACCCUGUAUACUUGCAAGAAUUGUUGGUCACUAUUUUCUAUGUUGGUCAUGAAUUUUUUGGCUCAUUGGCAGCAAAUGCAUCACGAGUAUCAGUGCUUCUGUCCAUCUUUUCCUAGGCAACUUUUUUUUUGUUGCGUUAGCUUUUUCAGAAUUGCUUAAUUUACUGUUUGCAGAUUUGCUUUAAUUAUUAGAUCAAUUGCCUUAACUGUUUUUCUUUAAACCUGAAAAUUUUAUAGAUUUUAUAUAGUAUUGAUGUCUUUCAUCUUGCAUUUUGAUGUAUGAUAUGAAUGAUUUGUCAAGCUUUGACUUUUUCCAUUACAAAGAAAUGGAAAAUAGGGAAAUAACUUAACCCUGCUGGAGUAGUAUUAACCUUACUGGGGAAAAAGCCAAUUUACAUAACCUUGCUUACCGCUGCAUAUAUUUUGGCUUUUGGGUUGGAGUAAGUCAUUAGGAUAUAAAGACAUCCUUUGUGUAGAAGUUUUUGUUUCAAUUUUAGGUUUUAAGAUCUUCCUCGCCUAUUUGGUUGCGUGAUCGUUUUAUUUCCUUUGUCACCUUAUCUAUCCACUGGUAUUUUAUGUAACUUGCAUAGUUGCAUUAUCAAAUUGUGGAAAAGUUUACUUGCAUGCUAUCUCCAAGGAUAUAGCACAUCCAAUACUUUCACUUUGGUGAGAACGUAAGAAUCUUUGGAUCUCUCUUUUUGAAAAUUAAUGUAUCCAAAAAAAAUAAAAGGUUCCCUAUCUGUAGGAUGGGUUGAAAUAUACAAGGGGUAACCAUUUUGUGUUAAACCACUAGUAAUCACAAGUGUAGAAGCUUGCUGAAUUUGUUCUUUCCUUGUUAUCAUUAUUCAAGUCUCCUAUUUUUUACUUGGUGUUAUGAUAAUAAACUAACUCUGAUGGAUUAUAUAUUAAAUUUUAGUUAAAGCAUUAAACCCCCUGAACUUUACUCUCAGUUGUAUUUUACCCCCCUCAACUCAAUAAAUAUGUACUUUGGCCCCCUACUUUAUAUUUUAGGAUAAAAGUACCCCUUCCAUAUUAAUUAUUAUUUUAUUUCUUUUUUCUUCUUUUUUGCCCUUUUUCGGCUUGUCCCCUUUCUUUAUAUUUAAAUUUUUUCCCUUCUCUCAUGUGAUCAACCACUUUUUUUAGUCUUUUAUUUGCUAUUAUUAUUUAUAUAUUAACUUUAAUCUUCUUAAACUUAUUCUUUAUUUAUUUCUAGCUUUUUUAACUUUUGUUAUUGGAAGUAAUAAUGAUCGUAAAGUUUAUGGUAUAACAAAGUUACUCAUGGAUGAGAGAAACUUUUUGUUAUUUGGUUGGGUCAAAAAAUGUAUCUAUGGAACUCAUGGAAGUUCAAAUCCGUGUUAUGAGAUUCUGUGAAAUUGAUUUUAUUGUUUCACCUAUUUAUUCUGAAUUCCUGGACUAUAAACAAAAGUCAAAGUUUCUCCCGUCAAACAAAUUGUAAACACAAAUUUUAUAGUUUGAAAUCUUCAACGAUUGCAACAAUUUAUUUUUCAAAAAAGAAAAAUUAUCGUUACAGGACAAUAACUAGGCAACACUAAAAGUUCACAAUGCAAGGUGCAACAUUUGUAACUUUAUGGUAAUACCCAUGAGUUGGUGACAAGGAUGGCAAUGGGACGGGGUUGGGGUGGGGGAGGGCACCCCACUGCCUACUAAUUCCCCCCGCCCCCCGUCCCUACCCCAUCCUGCUUUCCCCGCUGGACUAUUAAAAAUUUGUUAUAUAAUUUUAUUAUAGUUAAAUUUUAGCAAAUAAUCAAGUACUAAAAUAUCAACAUAUCACCAAGUUAUUAUUCAUUGUAAUUUCAUAAUUGAAACUUAUAAAAGUAAUCAAAUAAAAGUUAUUUGAAUACAAUCCAACAUGAUGAAAUAAAUACAACUAAACUAGUCAAGUUUUCACUUUUUGCACAUAUACAAUCACUAAUUCAUUAUUGUGUUUGUGCUUUUUUUUUUGAGAAAAAAGUGUUAUUGUAUUAAGUGUAAUUAGAAAUUUUGUAUAAAUGUAUUAGUAAAUUUAGUAUAACUAAAUAAUAAUUUCUAUUAAUAGACAUAUAAUUAUUAGUAUAAUUGAUAAUAUCAAUUAUAAUACAUAUAGUAAUAUACAUUAUAUAAUACAUAUAACUAAUAAUAUCAUUAUCAUAAGUUUGUAACUAAUUAAAUUAAAUAUUAUUUAUAUAAUUAUAUACAUAAAUAUUUAUUUUUUUUAGCGGGUGGUGGGGCGGGGGAAAAAUUCCCCUCCCCGCGCCCCAACCCCUGCCCUAUUAACCCCCCGCAGGGCGGGUGCCGCAUUGCCAUCCCUAGUUGGUGAGUACCUAUUUGGAAGGCUGCAAUUUCUUAAGUGGGCAAUAAACCCCUCCUAGUCCUAGUACUAAAUGCUAACAAAAUGAAGUGAAAAUCAUUCAAAACGUUCCUCACAUUUUGUAAAAUGACUUUUUUAUCCCUUACUUUUAAAAAUGUACUUUAUGUCUCUUACAAAUUCACAUUGGUCAAAUUUGAUUCCUAUUUAGGUUUCUGACUAGUUUUUUAUCGGAAUUCACCAGGUGCCUUGCACGUGAUCAUUUUUUAAGGGCAAAAUUGUCAAAUCAAAAUUUACAUAAUUCGAUCCAUAGUCCCUCACAUUUCAUAAAAUAAUCUUUUUUGUCCCUCGCAUUUCACAAAAUGAAUUUUUUCAUCCUUCAUAUUUUACAAAAUAAAUUUUUUCAUCCCUCGUUGAUUAUGUGUACGAAUAACUUUUUUUAAAACUCAUAUAUAUAUAUAUAUAUAUAUAUAUAUAUAUAUAUAUAUCUCUAUUUGAUUUCAUCUGAAUAAUAUGAAUAACAUGUAAUAUAUUUCUAUUUGAUUUUGUUUGAACGUAUUGUUUAGGUAAAAUUAAAUAGAUAUAUGCAGGAGUUUUAAAAAUAUUAUUAGUUUUUCACUCAUAUUCAUUUUCUUUUACUCGAAAAUUGAAAAUAAAGAAGACAUUUAAUCCUAAACAUUAUCAAGUGUUUAUAUCGAAUUAAAUUUGGACAGAAAAAAAACAAAGGAAAAGUAUGACAAAAACAAGUAAGUCAGUGACACUUCAAAUUUUAAGACAAUUACAAGGUAAGAAAUUCAACUACUGGUCUUAAAGGUGGCGAGUAAAAACUUCAUAUUUAAACUGCAAUUUGUUAACAUGACUAUAGAUUUCGAAUUGGGACCAAUUAAUUAGAUAGUCUUAUUACACAACUCAAUAAAUGAAUUAUUACCAAAAGAGAAAUGUUACAAAUAUUGAAUAGAUUCACGUGGUAAAAUCAAAUAUAUAUAUAUAUGGGUUUAAAACACAAUUUUUAGAUUUAAACCCAUGUAUAUAUCUAUUGAAUAGCAUGUAUAUAAUUACAAUUAGUCUGUUUAGGUGAAAUCAAAUAAAGAUAUAUUACAUGCUAUUCGUAUUGUUCAGGUGAAAUCAAAUAAAUAUAUACAUGAAUUUUAAAAAAAAAUCAUUUAUACACAUGGUCAAUGAGGGAUGAAAAAAUUCAUUUUGUCAAAUAUGAGGGAUUAAAAAUUUUAUUUUAUAAAAUAUGAAGGACGAAACAAUUCAUUUUGUGAAAUGUAAGGGACAACAGAUCGAAUUAUAUAAAUUUUAAUUUGACAAUUUUACCCUUAAAAAAUAAUCACAUGUUAGGCACGUGAUGAAUUCAGGCAAAAAACUAGUCAGAAACCUAGAUAGGGACCAAAUUUGAUUAAUGUAAAUUUGUAAGGGAUAUAAAAAUACACUUUUAAAAGUAAGGGACGAAAAAUAUCAUUUUACAAAAUGUGAGGGACGUUUUGAAGGAUUUUUCCCAAAAUGAAACAACUAUUAUCAACAGUUAUAUCAAUUUGUUCAUAAGUUCAUAUGCCCAAAAACCAACUGUAAGUAAUACCUCUGUCCCAAUUUUAGGGACGUUUGUUGAGAGUGUAACUUCUUAUGUACAGCGAGAUCAUUAUUGACAACCAAGUCUUUACUUCCAAAUUUACCCUAUUACAAGUACGACAAUCAGCUGAAAUCUGGUUUUUCACACAGUAAUGAUUUCUUCUUUUUUUUUCCGGUAACGAUAACAUUUGUAUAAUUUAAUCUAUCCUAUUCUAUAGGGAGAGAGAGUUUAAAGUGGAUGUGUAAGGGAGUAGCAGAUAUACAGAUCUAACUAAACUAAAUGGAUAUUCUAACACCUUUUAAAAAAAAAAAUUUAGUGCAUGUGAAAUUUGAAUUCCUGACCCUACGGUUCAAAGAGGACUAACUUAGUCCUUUUUUGGUGAUAGUACGAUUUCAUGGGUACCAUCUCAACCAAAUGCAUCCUUUGUAUGUUAGAAACAUGCACCAUCAUUGGCCGUGUAAAGUGGGAGUUGUCUCCCACAGUACUCAAACUUCUCUAAAUGGAUAAUAAUUAGUGAGUCCUACUAAAGACAUACACUACGAGGGCAAGCGCGGAAUGUUAGAAGGAAAAUACUGUAGUAUGACUCUAAUUUUGAGACAAUAAAAAAAAGGGGAAAAUAUGACACUAAAGAUGAACUAAAGAAAUACAAAAGAUAUGUUUUAUUAAUAAAGUUCUUUUGACUAAAUGCAAGUACCUCAAGAAGCAUACAGCUCCAAGCAUACAUCUUUAUUUGUUGACAAAGUGAAGCACUUAGACGGUUAGACCUGUGAUCCACAGGUCCCACAUUCAACCUUAUUUAUAAGCCUAGAUAUUUAGAGUACCAGUGCCAACUAGUUCUUUUCCAGUUUCCCUCCUCCAAAAGCCGUCGAUCCUGUUUAAUGUGGAGAUAAAACUUGAUAAUAAUAUGACCUCCUUGGUUACUUAGUGCCUGAAGGUUAGCAUACCCUGUCGCAUACCUAAACAGUUUGGUCCCUCCUACAAUUGCAAGUUCUUGAACAGGUGUCGGUUGGUUAAGCCCUUUUACUUCCACAGUGCUACCGUUGUA
rnacentral:lncRNA from 1 species